rnacentral:rRNA from 1 species
CACGUAGGGGGCGAGCGUUGCUCGGAAUCACUGGGCGUAAAGCGCACGUAGGCGGCUUCUUAAGUCAGGGGUGAAAUCCUGGAGCUCAACUCCAGAACUGCCCUUGAUACUGAGAGGCUCGAGUCCGGGAGAGGUGAGUGGAACUCCGAGUGUAGAGGUGAAAUUCGUAGAUAUUCGGAAGAACACCAGUGGCGAAGGCGGCUCACUGGCCCGGUACUGACGCUGAGGUGCGAAAGCGUGGGGAGCAAACAGG